GGAUCCUAACAAUUCCGAAAUUGCAAGACAACAGAGGACAAGUACGACAACAACAAAGACCAGUAAUCUCAGAUGAAAUCCGUGCCACCCUAGUUCAUGAUGUGCUCAUACAUGGGAUGACUAUGAGAGAAGCUGGACAGCUAGUGCAACCCAACCCAACUUUCUUUUUUCUUUACAUGGUUGCAUCCAUUGUCUGUACUUUCAGAAGGGAAACAGAUCAUUUGCCUUGUUACUGUGAUACAUGUAAUGUUGUAGUGCAUAUAGACUGAAUCUCCACUUUGUUCUCAGUGUAGUUUUGACCACAGUAAGCCUCAAAAUGGUUAAAACACCAAUCAGAAUUGCAGGAUCAAUAAAUUAAAAACCAAAGGUCAGUAAUGGUCAAAUAGAAUUUUUGAAGAACUGAGAGGUGGCCAUCUAUUGGAGGGAGGCGGAGACUUCUCACAGCUGAGCAGGAGACUGCCCUUGUGAAUAUGGUGAUUGCCAAUAAUUCCAUUCGUUCGAGGGAAAUUCAAACCCAAAUAGUUGAAGACCAGGUAAUCUUCCAAGGAUUUGACAGCAUCAGCAUUUCCACCAUUGACCGGAUCAUUUAGAAGAACCACAUAAGGACAAAGCAGCCGUACCGUGUGCCUUUUGAAAGGAAUUCGGAGUUAAGGAGCGACGAUUCCAAUAUAUGCAGAGAAUCUUGAGCUGGAUGCCAUGGCUGACCCACAGGAGUACAUCUUCAUCGACGAGGCAUGAUUCAACCCCAAAAAAAGGCGCAAAAGUGGGAGCAAAUUCAUUGGUCACCAUACAAGUUCCUGGCCAGAGGGGAGGUAAUGUCACCCUAUGUGCAGCCAUCAGCAAUCAUGGCAUCCUCCACCGCCAUUGUGAAAGUGGGUCCAUACAACAUGGAACAAUUCCUUCAAUUUCUAGAUCAGCUGCACAAUAACAUUCUUCAACAGGAAGGGGAGUCAGGGCAACCAGAGCAAGCCCAAUAUGUUGUCAUUUGUUAUAACAUGAGUUUCCAUCGGGUUGCUCUGGUUCGCGCCUGGUUCAAUGACCAACCCAGGGUCACCGUUCUUUUUUUGCCAGCAUAUUCCCCAUUUCUGAAUCCGAUUGAGGCAUUUUUCUCAGCAUGGUGGUGGAGAGUAUUUACCCGCAACCCCUACGCACAGCAAAACCUCCUGGAAGCAAUGAUGGAGGCCUGUGGUGAUGUGUCUGUGGAGUCUAUCCAGUGUUUUCUAAGAAACACAAGGGCAUUUUUCCCACGCUGCCUGGCAAGAGCAAACAUAAUGUGUGACGUUGAUGAGAUUAUGGCCUGAGAUGAGAACCCUGAUGCUGAGUAACCUGUACAUUUGCUGCAUUUGGAAAUAAAGCUUUUGGAAAUGGGGUA